AGCAAGAUUUGAAAGAGAAUUCAAGCUAUUCUCAACCCCGAGGAUCCAUGAGCUUCCGUUCUGAACAAGAUCCGAAAGAGAAUACAAGCCAUUGGCAACCUCGAGCAUUGAUGAGCUUCCGCUGUGAACAAGAUCCGAAAGGCAAGACAAUUCACUGCCAACCCCAACCAUCGAUAAGCUUCUGUAGCGAACAAGACCCAAAGGAUAACACGGUCCAGUACCUACCCCAAGCUUCGAUGAGCUUCCCUGGUGAACGUGACCCGAAAGAGAAUACAAUCGACUGCCAACCCCAAGCAUCGAUUAGCUUCCGUUGUGAACGAGACCCAAUAGACAAGACAAUCCACUGCCAACCCCAACCAUCAAUGAGCUUCCAUAGCCAACAAGACCCGAAAGAGAAUACAAGCCAUUGGCAAC
rnacentral:lncRNA from 1 species